rnacentral:rRNA from 1 species
ACUUACACAUGCAAGCAUCCGCACCCCGGUGAGAAUGCCCUCUGAAUCUCCGAGACCAAGAGGAGCGGGUAUCAAGCACACAUCCCGUAGCUCACAACACCUUGCUUAACCACACCCCCACGGGAGACAGCAGUGACAAAAAUUAAGCCAUAAACGAAAGUUUGACUAAGUUAUAUUGACCAGGGUUGGUAAAUCUCGUGCCAGCCACCGCGGUCAUACGAUUAACCCAAGCUAACAGGAAUACGGCGUAAAACGUGUUUAAGCACUAUAUCGAAUAGAGUUAAAUUUUAAUUAAACUGUAAAAAGCCAUAAUUAUAAUAAAAAUAAAUGACGAAAGUAACUCUACGACAGCUGAUACACUAUAGCUAAGACCCAAACUGGGAUUAGAUACCCCACUAUGCUUAGCCCUAAACACAAAUAAUUAUAAAAACAAAAUUAUUCGCCAGAGUACUACCGGCAACAGCCUAAAACUCAAAGGACUUGGCGGUGCUUUACACCCUUCUAGAGGAGCCUGUUCUAUAAUCGAUAAACCCCGAUAGACCUCACCAAUUCUUGCUAAUACAGUCUAUAUACCGCCAUCUUCAGCAAACCCUAAAAAGGAACAAAAGUAAGCAUAAUCACAACACAUAAAAACGUUAGGUCAAGGUGUAACCUAUGAAAUGGGAAGAAAUGGGCUACAUUUUCUACCACAAGAAAAUCACACGAAAGUUAUUAUGAAACUAAUAACCAAAGGAGGAUUUAGUAGUAAACUAAGAAUAGAGUGC